rnacentral:lncRNA from 1 species
GAGGGAGUCGCGGUCGCCGUCGGGACCUGCAAAGGAAGUCUAAAUCGGAGUUAGGGUUGCUCUGGCAAGACCCUCUGAUGCUCAAGUCAGUUCUCUGCCUCAACCAGAAUGGAGUGCUCGAACAAAAAUUUUAGCAAAAUUUUGGGAUAGAAAUUAGAGCUUAGAGAAUAACGUAUCUGGGAUCCCCCCUUUUUAUAGGCGGAGGGGGUAAU